rnacentral:rRNA from 1 species
UACGGAGGGUGCAAGCGUUGCUCGGAAUUAUUGGGCGUAAAGGGUAGGUAGGUGGUCUCGUUUGUCUGGGGUGAAAGCCUUGAGCUUAACUCAAGAAGUGCCUUAGAAACGGCGAGACUAGAGUCUUGGAGAGGGUCGUGGAAUUCCCGGUGUAGCGGUGAAAUGCGUAGAGAUCGGGAGGAACACCAGAGGCGAAGGCGGCGACCUGGACAAGUACUGACGCUCAGGCACGAAAGCGUGGGGAGCAAACAGG